rnacentral:hammerhead_ribozyme from 1 species
AUCCAGCUAACUAGUCCCAAAUAGAACGAAAUGCGCAUCCUGGAU